rnacentral:rRNA from 1 species
AGUAACGGCGAGUGAAGCGGCAACAGCUCAAAUUUGAAAUCUGGAGUCCUUGUGGCUUCCGAGUUGUAAUUUGCAGAGGGAGCCUCGGAGGGCUGGUCGGUCCAAGUGCCUUGGAACAGGAUACCGCAGAGGGUGAGAGUCCCGUAUCCGGCCGACGCAGCGCUCCGUGUGAGGCCUCUUCGACGAGUCGAGUUGUUUGGGAAUGCAGCUCUAAGUGGGUGGUAAAUUCCAUCUAAAGCUAAAUACUGGCCAGAGACCGAUAGCGAACAAGUAGAGUGAUCGAAAGAUGAAAAGCACUUUGAAAAGAGAGUUAAACAGUACGUGAAAUUGUUGAAAGGGAAGCGCAUGGGGGCAGACUUGGACGCGGGGUUCAGGGUCACAAUUUUGAGGCCUGUACUUCCCCGCGGACAGGCCAGCAUCGGUUCUGGGGGCCGGACAAAGGCGACGGGAACGUGGCUCUCUUCGGGGAGUGUUAUAGCCCGACGUGCAAUGCGGCCACCUGGGACCGAGGACCGCGCUUCGGCAAGGAUGCUGGCGUAAUGGCCUCAUG